rfam:Picea glauca, whole genome shotgun sequence.
GUAAUGGUGUCUUUAGACACCACCCUUUAUCAUCAAAAAAAAAUUGU